UGAAUUUGACGGGGGGCCCGGCACAAGCGGGUGGGAGCAUGUGGUUUAAUUNGAAGCAACGCGAAGAACCUUACCUACUCUUGACAUCCAGAGAACUUGUGAGAGAUCACUUGGUGCCUUCGGGAACUCUGAGACAGGUGCUGCAUGGCUGUCGUCAGCUCGUGUUGUGAAAUGUUGGGUUAAGUCCCGUAACGAGCGCAACCCUUGUCCUUAGUUGCCAGCAUUUAGUUGGGGACUCUAAGGAGACUGCCGGUGACAAACCGGAGGAAGGCGGGGACGACGUCAAGUCAUCAUGGCCCUUACGAGUAGGGCUACACACGUGCUACAAUGGACAGUACAGACGGUUGCCAACCCGCGAGGGGGAGCUAAUCUGAGAAAGCUGUUCGUAGUCCGGAUUGGAGUCUGCAACUCGACUCCAUGAAGUCGGAAUCGCUAGUAAUCGUGAAUCAGAAUGUCACGGUGAAUACGUUCCCGGGCCUUGUACACACCGCCCGUCACACCAUGGGAGUGGGUUGCUCCAGAAGUAGAUAGCUUAACUUCGGGAGG
rnacentral:rRNA from 1 species